rnacentral:rRNA from 1 species
AUGGAAACAUAUGAAAUAACUGAGGAUGUGCUGAUUGACAAAGAAAAAGGGUGGAGAAAAGAUAUUGUGUACCAUGUACAAUUCAGUGAGGAAGAGUUUGAAGUUAAGUGUUCAUGUCGCCACUUUGAGUUCAGGGGGAUUCUCUGUAGGCAUGUGUUAUGUGUGCUCACUCACAAGAAAAUCAAGGAGGUUCCUCUACAAUACAUUCUUGAUCGGUGGAGAAAAAAUGUGAAAAGAAAACAUAACUUCAUCAGAUGCACAUAUGGCGGCAUGGAAAAUACUCCUGUUGCAAAUCGUUUUGAUAGAUUGUGCAAUAGUUUCUACCCAGUUGCAGAGAUAGGCGCCAUGUCAGAUGAUUCAUGCAAUUCAUUGAUUGAAGAUCUUUGCACCUUGAAAAUUAAGUACUCUAGCAACUCAAGUUCUGAAAAUAAUAAGGAUCAGGUUAGUGCACCAAAAGAUCAAUUGCAGGAAGAGGCGCCUUCUGAUGGGAAGACAACAAGUAAAACUAUACUAAGUCCAAUAGCUGUUAGAUGUGCUGGACGUCCUCCUUCAUUGAGAAAAGAAUCCAAGGUUGAUAAGCUUAUUCGUCAAGCAAAUGAAAAGAAGAAGAAAGCUGAACUAAGGGAGAAGAAAAAGGCUGCACAAGAAGAGAAGAAGGCUGCACAAAAGGAAGCUGAACAAAAGGUAUUCUCCAUAUAUUAUCUUUUUAUUCUGUGA